rnacentral:rRNA from 1 species
UCGCAGCGGUGGAGCAUGUGGUUUAAUUCGACGCAACGCGCAGAACCUUACCAGCCCUUGACAUCCCGGUCGCGGACUGCAGAGAGGGAGUUCUUCAGUUCGGCUGGACCGGAGACAGGUGCUGCAUGGCUGUCGUCAGCUCGUGUCGUGAGAUGUUGGGUUAAGUCCCGCAACGAGCGCAACCCCCGUCCUUAGUUGCUACCAUUUAGUUGAGCACUCUAAGGAGACUGCCGGUGAUAAGCCGCGAGGAAGGUGGGGAUGACGUCAAGUCCCCAUGGCCCUUACGGGCUGGGCUAUACACGUGCUACAAUGGCGGUGACCAUGGGAUGCUAAGGGGCUACCCUUCUCAUAUUUCAAAAAGCCGUCUCAGUUCGGAUUGGGCUCAGGAACUCAAGCCCAAGAUGAUGGAAUCGCUAGUCUGGC